rnacentral:lncRNA from 1 species
AGGAAAUGAGCUCGUGGCACUCGGUCCACGAUGAAACAAAUAUUUAUAAUUGACUUGAACAUGGAGCUUACUUCCCACGCAUCCAUUAUAUAAAUACACAGAACAGAACCGUACGCAUACACAUCUAAUUAGAUUGUAUAUAAUCAUUAAAUUGAUCUAAUUAAGUUAUACCCUUAAUAACAAUGAUUUCAGACUCAGAAGCAGAGACGCCGUCGUCGCCAUAUCAGUCGACGGAGGAUGUAGCACGGGGAUCGCCACCGAGCUGUUGCUAUUCUUGCAUGGAAGCUUCUUGUAAGUUGUUUUGCGGCCUUUGCGCUUUAAUGUAAGUAAUUAAUUAAAUUCAUAGAGUAAUUUUGAUGAUGAUGAUUAUUAUUAUUAUUAUUUUAUCACAUGUACAUACUUCUUAUUUUAUUUUAUUUUUUAGUGUGCUUUCGGUAGCCCGUUGGUGCGGCUUGGUUGAGGACGUGUAUUUUGAUUACUAAUUGAGUGUUGGAAUAUUGGAUCCUCUUGGCUGCGAUAUCGUUUUGGUGAUUCUUGGUUUCUGUAAUUUACAAAUACAGUGAGUGGAUCUUUUCCAUUGUUCUGUUAUGUACUAUUAUUAAUUGUUAUCUCCUGUUUCUAUUAUUCUGAAUGCAAG